AAUCAACGCUGGCGGCGUGCCUCUGACAUGCAAGUCGAACGAUUAAACUUUCCUUCGGGAAAGAUAUAAAGUGGCGCACGGGUGAGUAACACGUAAGUAAUCUACCUUCGAGUGGGGAAUAACGUUCGGAAACGAACGCUAAUACCGCAUAAUGCAGCGGCAUCGCAAGAUGACAGUUGUUAAAGGAUUUAUUCGCUUGA
rnacentral:rRNA from 1 species